GAUCAGGUCGAAGAGAAAGUGGAAGAGGAACACUGGGGGAGCCGGCUGUCCGGGUGCUGGAAGGGGUGGACGCACCUCGCCCUCUCCGCACAGGUAACGCGGGCGGGCACCGCGAAUCGAGCGUGUGUGCCCGGCUGGCACUGUCGAGUCUGAGGCCUUGAAUAAGGAGGAGGCACAGCACGCUCAGGGGAUGGAGUCAAGAAACGCGCCGCGCCUGGUGCCUAGUAGGCCUUCAGUUCAUUCUGAUUUAAAUGGGUUUGUCUUAACCGAGUAAAAGCGAUCUCGGUAAUAAGAGCGGAAAGCAGGAGACAGGUCUCCGCAAGACUAGUUAAAAUGGGACUCUCCCCUACACACACACACACACACACACACACACACACACACACACACACACACACGAAAAACGGAAAGAAAUGCGCCUGCUGCCGACAAGGAGGGAUGCUGAGUACUAUCCCCUGAAUUGUCCGGGAGGAAAACCUGGAGCUUUUGUGUGCUCGACGUGGUGGCUAAAAAGCCAGCGAGGUCACAGCGCCGUCUCGUGUUGACAAGAGGAUUCUGCCGUCCGCGCCUGAGCCUGAGCUGGCCGCAGGAGGCCCGUUAUUGAAUUCGAUUUUCUGAAUAAUGCCGCCCUCACCUCCACACUUGGAAAAAGCGAAUGCGUGAAAGAAACCGCCUCUUACGUUAGGGAAGGGCUCAAUGCAUUGGAAUUAUCCAGAAAUUCAGCAAAUUCAGAAUAAUUGGAAGAAUUCAAAUCCAUUUCCUUCCCAGUAAUCCCCCUUUUCUCCAGGAGUCACAGUGAUUGAAUGACCCCUAAAGCAGCCCAGGGGCUCAGAGGAAGGAUGCUGAAAGACCAUGGAUUACUUUAUGGGUAUCCGAAUAAAAUAAUUUUAAAAGAAGGUGGUCAGCAGGGAUUAGAGGCAAUAAUGGUGCGUACACACACACACACACACACACACACACACACACUCACAGAAACCAGCUUAGGCCUGGCAGUCAGAGGUGAACAGAACUGAAAGUUUAAGUCUCUACUCAGCCACCAAUUACCUAUACGGUUUAGAAGAGCAUUUAGCCUUUUCUAGGCUUGAGUUACUGUGACUGUAAAAUCAAAGCAAUAUUCCAUUUAAUACACAUGUAUUGAAGGCCUAAUAUGACUCAGCUUCUGGGGAGAGAGAAAGGAGUAAAACCCUGACUUUAAGGAUCUCAUAGAUGAGGGAUACUAACAACUCCAAGGAUAGAAUUACAGUGACAAAUGCCGUUACUGUGGGAAGCUGAAGGUGUUGAGAAAACAUGGACCUGUCUGUGAAUCCAGCUAGAGUGGGGGACGCAUCAGGGAGGCCUCCCCAAGAAGGUGAUACUGAGUGAGACUUGAGCAGGAACUAGAGGGAACUACCAGGAGAUAUGUUUUAUUUUAAAUACUUAUUUAUCCAAGCACUCCCUGCAGACACCAUUCUAAGCACUUGACACAUUUUAACUCAUUAAACCCUUAUCACAGCUCUAUGAAGUAUUAUAUAUUAUCCCAUUUCACAGAUGGGGAAAUUGGAGCACAGAGAGGUUAAGGAAUUUGCACAAAGUCACCCACUAGUAAGUGAUAGAGCUGAGAUUUGAAUGCAGGCCAUCUGGCUCCACAAUCCAUCUGUAGAACGGUUAUUCAGACACCUAGAAAAUAACCCACAUAUUUCUAACAUUCUUUCACAGAGCACUUGAACGGUUUUAGGGCCACACAAACACUAUUAUUCCUGGAAGAAAGGAUCUCAGGGAAGGAAGUGGACUUACAGCCCCCAAUUCCCAGAUGAUUCGCUUAACAUCUGGAUGUUAGAAAGACAUCCAAGCAAAGCAAUAACAUAUACAAAGGCACAGAAGCUUAGAAGAGUAGGGAACAUUCCAGGAAUUACGAUAUGUCUGGGACCAGGGCUCGUGUGCACAGGGACAUGAGUCGGCUCUGAUGGGGUGGGCAAGAGCCUGGUAAUGAAGGACAAAGGAAUUUGGAUUUUAUCCUUGUGGCUAUGUGACAUCACUGGAACAUUUUAAGCAGCCGUGUGUCAGGAGUGUUCCAGUUACUAUUAUGUAUUAUGUAACGAACCACCCAAAAUGUAGUGACGUGGCUCCACCACUUUGUCAUGAUCACAGAUUUUGUGGGGCUGGAACAUGGACACAGCUGAGGUAGCUCUUCUUAGCUCUGUUAUGUCUGGAGGUUCGGUUGAGAAGACUCAAAUGGUGGCAACUGGAACAGCUAGGGCUAAAGGAUUCACAUCCAAAAUGACUCCUCAGGCUGCUGCCUGAACUGGGAUAACUCGAAAACUGACUCAGCUGAGACUGUUGGCUUGAGCACUUACACAUGGCCUCUCCACGUGACUUGGCCUUUUCACAAUAUGGUGGUUGUGUUCUGAGAGGGAAACUUACUCAGACAGGGCCUCCAGACCAGGACCAGUAGAAGCUGCAUGGACUUUCUACCCUAACCUUGGAAGUCACACAGUGUCACUUCUAUGGACUAUUGGUCGAAGCAGUCACAAGCCUGUAUAGAUUCAAAUGGAGGACACCCUACCUCUCCAUGGAGCAAUGUCAAAGAAUUUGGACCCCGGUUUUAAAACCACCAUGAGAUGUGGUUUUGAGAUCCAGCAGGCCCAUUUCCUCCAAUGUGUCCUCAUGUGCCAUGAACACGCUCAUCUAUGUGCACUUACUGCGAUUAUCUUGGCUUUAGCUGUGUCUGAGUGUCCAAGGGAGGUGAAACCCUGUGACCCUCCAUCAGCCAUCUCCCUCUGACCCAGUGGACAACAGAGUCUAGCGUUUGUGGCAGCAAGACUUCGGAAGCACCGGGAGAUGUUGCAGCCCCAGCUGAGCCCUUGAGCCUGACAAAGAGCCAGCCACCCUUCCAACCUGGCAAGGAGAGCAGCAGAGUCGAACCAGGUGGUAGGCGGCAGAAGGACGCAUGCAGAUGCUGCCAGGGAGAAGCCCAGUGUCCACGUGCAGCACCCAGCACUGAGCGGCUCAGCCCCACGCGGCAGAGGGAGCAGCAGGAGGGGACCACGUAGCAUGAGAGCCUCCUGGCCCCUUCCCCAGGCCUCUGUCUCCCCUGAGCAAAAUGGGCUUAAACUGGAUUGGCUCCCUUCCACUGCUCACCUUCUCUGAUGGCAACUUCCACUCGAGGUUUGGCCCUCUGUCUUAGAAUCGUGACCACAGUGGGUGCCAUUAUUAAUGGAGGGUGGCUGUGGUCAGAGUAGAUACGGCAAAGCAUAAACAGAGGAAGAGAAGCACAGAUUUAAAGGGGCCCAGAGCACUUCCACAUCUGUACCUGCCAGUAACUGCCCUCAUGUCAAAGGGACAGAAGUGACCUCUGAGGCUACCUGGCAGCCUGUCCCUGAACCAUGGAUGGGCUGGGAGGGAACAACUCCCAAGAAGUCCAGUGGUGCUUCCCUCCGCUCCUUUUGCCCUUAGUUCUCAGUGAGAGGGGGCUGCGGCCUUUAGGACCUUCCUUUGUGUCCUUUCUCUCCAAACUUCUCCCCUGGGGAAAUUCUGCUGGUGUUUUUAUGUAGGGGAAUACCCCGCCAACCCCUCUUUGCAGCAUUUCUCCUGUUCUUGGGAAAGGUGAUCAUCUAGAAAUGGGGAGGGUGGUGGUGGGAAAUGACGCAAUACCACCACCACCAUCAUCAUCACCAUCAUCAUCACCAUCAUCACAUUUCGUUGUUUUUUACAGCUUUAUUGAGGUUUAAUUGACAUACACUGCCUAUUUUAAGUAUCCAAUUUGAUAAGUUUUGACACAUGUACCUACCCAUGAGACCAUCAACGCAAGCUAGAUAGUGAACAUAUCCAUUGCCCCAAAAGUUUCCUUGGGGCUCUUUAUAAUGGGGUUCCCUCUUUUUUCCCUAUCCACAGGCAACCACUGACCUUUCUGUCACCUGAGACUAGUUUGCA